rnacentral:lncRNA from 1 species
GUGGAGAGGUAAUGGUGAUUCCGUCCAAAAGCAGCUAUGAGCUUGUUGCUCCAUUCCGCCCAGGACUGCUGCUGCACGCCUUCGUAUCGAUGCCACGCCGC